ensembl:lncRNA
GUUUUUUGUCAGUUGAACAAUUCUUCUGGCAGUGUUGGCUGAAAUCUUUCUUGGUCUACCUGACAUUGGCUUGGUAUCAAGAGAUCCCUGAUUUUCCCACUGCUUAAUAUGUGAUUGUAGUACUAACUGGAAUUUGCAAGGCUUUGGAUAUCUUUUUAUAUCCUUUUCAGUUAUUUUCUGCUCCCCAUGGCUCAUUAUCUAGCCUGCUCAGUUUCACCUGUGUGUGUCAUCUUGUGUGUCUGUAACAAGGCCAAACAUUCAAGGGUAUGUAAACUUUUGAUCAGGGCCAUUUGGGUGAUUUCUGUUAUCAUUAUGAUUUAAAAAGGAGCCAAACAACUAUGUGAUAAUAAAUGCCUUUAUAUAAUCACUAUCCUUAAACAAAAAUGUGCAUGAUCAGUCCUAUUUUCAAAGUCAGUGCCAACAUUUCACAAUUUCUGCCAGGGUAUGCAAUCUGUAUGUGAAGGUUUCACUUUUUGAUUUGAAUUACUUGAAAGAAAAUUGAGAUGCCCCUGUAUAUACCGUAGUUUAAUGUAAACCUGUAUGGAUGAACUACAGCAACAUAUUUAGGGUUUUAUCCUUAAGAGGAAAAAUCUAAUGGCCCAAAUCUUUAAAACCAGACACGCUUCCAUCAGGAGAAUUUGGCUUGAAAAUGUAAAGAAAAGUAAUUAGCCAUCUGCCCCAUCGCACAUCAAGUCACCUCCAAAAUGCUCCUCUCCUUACUUCUAGAUAGAUGAUUGUACUAUCUAGACAGAACUGCAAAUCUAACUGUUAAUGGGUAAAAAAAAAAAAUGUGCAAAUACGCAUUUGAAGUAACAUUUAAGCUAAUAUCAAGUUGAGUUCAGUGAUUUUGAGAUGUAUUUUAUUACAUUCAUAAUCUUUAAAUGGGUGGUAGCUGACAUUUGUAAUCCAAUGUGCUGAUGAAGAACAGGAGGGCACACAGUUUUAUGGUCCAUACAUUCCUUGUUUGAGAACAUGAGAAGAAAUAAAAUUGAUUUAUUGUUUUUUAUAACACAGUUAGGCAAUUAAAUUUUAUAACAUCUGAAUCUAAGGUGCCCACUUUGUCCCUGAAAUCUUAAGUUAUUCCAAAGGUCAGAACCAAAGAUACCUGGUACAUGAUCUCAUUGAUUCUCAGCAUUUUCACCACAGGUUUUUACUUUGUCACAAUUGUCUCUCAUCUACUGUGGCUUUACUGUUGGUUUCAUAGUAGUUCAUUUGAUGUUUGGUUUAUAUUCAUGUUGUAUGUAACCUGUAUGUACCUUGUAUGUGUUGUAAGUACUUUUGAAUACCUUGCGUUGUUAGAAUUUUGCAAUAAAAAUGUUUUAGUUUCCUCUGUAGAAGUUUAUGAAUCAGGAAGUGUGACUGUAAAGAUUUUAUACUAUAACAACUUAACAAUAUGUUUGCUGUUGCCUCGUGUAUGUCUGGAGACUUUGUUUUUAGGUGGGACUGAAUUUUGCACCACUUCUGUAGAAUCAUCAAUAAAGGGAAGGGGAUAUCAUUUGGAACUCAACCUUUGACAUUUCAAUCAUUAGACCCAUUCAGUGUUGUGAAGUCAGGUGAGACGACUGUCUAGCCAAUCAAUGGGGUAAUCAAACUAAGUGCUGAGUCACAAUUAAAACAUGCAGACAGAGCACGGCACCAAGGCUGGGAAGAGAGUAGGGACACAUCUCUCAUCUGUCUCCUUAACAAGAUGGCUGCAACCAAUACAGAGCGCAAUAGACUUAAACAACUGGUCAUGAACUUUAUUAUCAAAUUAGAGGUUUACUUUGUAAAAAAAUAAAAUACAUUUAAAAUAAUUAUAUUCAUCACAGUAUGUAGUUGUUAAGUGAACUGUCUGCAUAACAUAAAAUAUUUUUAACAAAAUCCCAUGUGAUCUUUUGUUAUCAUCUUGACAUUUUCAUUUGGCAAAAAAGUAUCUGUUCUCACCUAAAAUGUUCAAAGCAUUGUUAAAGUGGAUGUAGGGAGCCAAAAUAUUGAAAAUAAUGUGUAUUUAUAAAACAGAUCUAUUAAAAAGUUUUGUCUUAUUAUCUAUUUCAGAAAUUACUUUUGCAUGCUCCCAUACAUGUAUGCAUUCAUCCUAAACUGAACGUUAAAUGACAGCCAGUGAAACAUGCGCAUUGUGUAUUGAAGGCACACACAUUAUUUUAUAUUACUUUUGAAUUAGACAGUUGAAUUAGAUAUCUUAACAUUCCUUAUUUUGGCCCUUAGUAAUGCAAUUUCAAUUGAUGUCCCUAAUAAUGGUGUUUUGCUUGUCUGUGGUUACAGAUGGAGGAAACCAAGAGGUUUCUGGUUCUUUUCCACAGUUCUGCAGCAGAUAGAGUCUUGGACUGGUCUCAGGGCAAUGCAAUAUAAUAAAAUAUAUCAUAUAUUACCACACGUUCUCAUUGAGCCCAGCCCUUUACAGUCUAGCAGUCAAGCAACACCAUUAGCCCAACUUUCCACUAAAUUUCAGACCAGCAAAGAUCCCCCCACCUGGAGGAGAGAAAGGAAAAAAGAGCGGGACAGAGUUAAAUAUGCUCAUAUGGCAGUAGAGGCAGCUGCUCCUGCCCUCCUAAAAGACUGAUUUGAAUAGCUGUAUUUUAAUAAUUUGGUUAUAUGGACACAGCAAGAGACCAUGAUAGCCAAUAAACCACUGUCAUAGCACUUGCAUAGUUCAACGUCAAGACAAAUCCUUCAUUUUAUUGAUGAUUGCAAUUAGCCCGGGGUAACAGUGUUGGCAAAUCAUGUGUGUGUGUGUGUGUGUGUUAACAUGUUGGUGUGUCAGUGUACUUUAUUCACUCACCAAUAGCUGCCACCCCAGCGAUGCUGCCAACAGCGAUACCGGCUAUCUCACCACCUGACAGUCCUGUCUCGUCACUAGACUGGCUGGGUGUUGUGUUGUCCUGGGUGGGUUUGGAGCUGGCCUGGGUGGGGGUGGAGUUGUCCUGGGUGGGUGUGGAGCUGGCCUGGGUGGGUGUGGAGUUGUCCUGGGUGGGUGUGGAGCUGGCCUGGGUGGGUGUUGAGUUGUCCUGGGUGGGUGUGGAGCUGGCCUGGGUGGGUGUGGAGCUGGGCUGGGUGGGUGUGGAGCUGUCCUGGGUGAAUAGGGAGCUGGUCACUUCAGUAGUAUGAAUGGAAGUUGACAUAUCAGGGGUAGGGUUGGUCACAUUUGGUUCACUUGCAGAAGAACCGUAAGCAUGCAGAAUGGCUGAUGAGAAAACAAGAGGAUGUGUUAACAGCCAAACAAUUAAAGCAGCUUCAAUUAAAUCAGAAUUUAGAUUUAUUUUAAAUGUAUUAAAUGCUUAUUCAUGUUUAAAAUUAAUAAUUAUUUGUCAAUAUUAUAUUUUAAAUAAAUUUACAAGCAAUCAGGUUGGUGUUCUUUAGGCACAAAAUGUACUGGAGAGGGACUGGUCCAAUAAGAAUUGCUACGUUUCCGAUCCAAAUCAUCUGUCUAUGAUGUGCAGUGUCAUGUACUGAACGUUGACUGGUCAGGUGCUCAAAUUUCAUUUACAGUUUCCGCCUUCUCUGUCUCUGACCGCAAGAUAAGCACCUCCUAAGCUGUGGGUAACUUGUGUUAAUUAACUUGCGUUAAUGGGAAUUUAUUUAUGACUGACAAAUAAUCCCAGGUCUAAGUGUCAAACCAUUACCUGUGGCUAGCAGACAAACAGUCAGAGUGGAUAGGUUCACAGCCAUGGCCCUGGGUAUAUAGUCUUCGACCUUAAGAAGAAAUCACUGUUUUAUCGAAAGCUGUACACGUAGGUUACACAGUCUAGGUCUGGACUAUGAAAUGCAUAGGAUUACAGAAUAAGAGGGAGAAGGCUGCUUAGACAGACAGAGAACCACUGUGGUUUAAAGAUUCUAAUCAAAAACGGAAUCCUAGAGAAUAACGAGUGAAGUGUGACAGUAACUGUAACCCUGUCAAUAAGCUGUGUUAAUCACCUUAUUUUUUUGUGUGAUCUGAAUUCAGUGAUAUUUACCAAAUGUGGACCUGAUCAUUUACAAACACAUAUUAUUCAUAUCCCAAAACCAAUAUUUAAAUAUAACGUGAAAAUACAAUUCAUACACCAAAACCAAUACCUAAAUAUAACAUGAUAAUACAGUUCAUUAUAGAAAACACUGAAUGCUACUUUUAUUGUAUUUGUUUGCAUAACAGCAUUACAUUUUAGAGCAUAGACAGCACACUAUGUAUGCCACACUGACCUUGAAUUAAAAUGGCUGCUGAGUGGGUCCUUCUUUCUCCUCGUCUUCAGUAAAACAAGUGAAAACCCAGUUACAUCACCUUUUAUACCUAACUGUCCCUAACUCCCCUCAUUGUCUCACCAUGGUUCCUUUUUUGAGCACUUCACAUGCGGAUAUCCAUCCUGCUGUAACACCCACUCAUAUUGGAC